rnacentral:rRNA from 1 species
AUUGAACGCUGGCGGCAUGCUUUACACAUGCAAGUCGAACGGCAGCGCGGGCUUCGGCCUGGCGGCGAGUGGCGAACGGGUGAGUAAUACAUCGGAACGUGCCCAGUAGUGGGGGAUAGCUCGGCGAAAGCCGGAUUAAUACCGCAUACGACCUGAGGGUGAAAGCGGGGGAUCUUCGGACCUCGCGCUAUUGGAGCGGCCGAUGGCAGAUUAGCUAGUUGGUGGGGUAAAGGCCUACCAAGGCGACGAUCUGUAGCUGGUCUGAGUGGACGACCAGCCACACUGGGACUGAGACACGGCCCAGACUCCUACGGGAGGCAGCAGUGGGGAAUUUUGGACAAUGGGCGAAAGCCUGAUCCAGCAAUGCCGCGUGUGUGAUGAAGGCCUUCGGGGUUGUAAAGCACUUUUGGCGGGAAACGAAAAGGGAACUGUGC